AUUCUGCUAUGGCAGAAUAUCUACUACUGAGCUUGAACUGAUAAGGGGGAAGAAUAGCUUGCCUCUGAACAAGGAUGACAUGCAUAUUCACAAAGUGUUUCAUGUUUUA
rnacentral:snRNA from 11 species